AGUGAACGCUGGCGGUAGGCCUAACACAUGCAAGUCGAACGGCAGCUCAGUAAGAGCUUGCUCUUACGGGUGGCGAGUGGCGGACGGGUGAGGAAUACAUCGGAAUCUACUUUUUCGUGGGGGAUAACGUAGGGAAACUUACGCUAAUACCGCAUACGACCUACGGGUGAAAGCAGGGGAUCUUCGGACCUUGCGCGAUUGAAUGAGCCGAUGUCGGAUUAGCUAGUUGGCGGGGUAAAGGCCCACCAAGGCGACGAUCCGUAGCUGGUCUGAGAGGAUGAUCAGCCACACUGGAACUGAGACACGGUCCAGACUCCUACGGGAGGCAGCAGUGGGGAAUAUUGGACAAUGGGCGCAAGCCUGAUCCAGCCAUACCGCGUGGGUGAAGAAGGCCUUCGGGCUGUAAAGCCCUUUUGUUUGGAAAGAAAAGCAGCAGGUUAAUACCCCGCUGUUCUGACGGUACCCAAAGAAUAAGCACCGGCUAACUUCGUG
rnacentral:rRNA from 1 species